GAUUGGUCGUAACGCGAAGCGUUGCGACAACCCUCUUUGCCUGAUGACCAUAGCGAGUCGGUCCCACCCCUUCCCAUCCCGAACAGGACCGUGAAACGACUCUACGCCGAUGAUAGUGCGGAUUCCCGUGUGAAAGUAGGUAAUCGUCAGGC
rnacentral:rRNA from 1 species